GAGCCCGCGUUCCAUUAGCUUGUUGGUAGGGUAAUGGCCUACCAAGGCGACGAUGCGUAGCCGGCCUGAGAGGGUGAACGGCCACACUGGCACUGAGAUAAGGGCCAGUCUCCUACGGGAGCCAGCAGUCUAGAAAUUUGCACAAUCGCCGAAAGGCGGAUGCAGCGACACCACGUGGAGGAUGAAGCCCCUCGGGGUGUAAACUCCUGUCAGAAGGGAAGAAGGCGCGGGCGUUAAUACCGCUCGUUGCUUGACGGUACCUUCAGAGGAAGCUCCGGCUAACUACGUGCCAGCAGCCGCGGUAAUACGUAGGGAGCGAGCGUUGUUCGGAUUUACUGGGCGUAAAGGGCACGUAGGCGGGUAUGCAAGUCGGUUGUGAAAUCCUCUGGCUCAACCAGAGAACUGCAGCCGAAACUGCACACCUUGAGUCCAGCAGAGGGAAUCGGAAUCCCAGGUGUAGCGGUGGAAUGCGUAGAUAUCUGGGAGAACAUCAGUGGCGAAGGCGGAUUCCUGGGCUGGUACUGACGCUGAGGUGCGAAAGCUAAGGGAGCAAACAGGAUUAGAUACCCUGGUAGUCUUAGCCGUAAACGAUGGAUACUAGGUGUCGGGC
rnacentral:rRNA from 1 species